rnacentral:rRNA from 1 species
CGCGUAGGCGGUCUCUUAAGUCAGAUGUGAAAGCCCGGGGCUUAACCCCGGAAGGGCAUUUGAAACUAAGGGACUUGAGUAUGGGAGAGGGAAGUGGAAUUCCUGGUGUAGAGGUGAAAUUCGUAGAUAUCAGGAGGAACACCGGUGGCGAAGGCGACUUCCUGGACCAAUACUGACGCUGAGGCGCGAAGGCGUGGGGAGCAAACA